GACGAACGCUGGCGGCGUGCUUAACACAUGCAAGUCGAACGGAAAGGCCCUGCUUUUGUGGGGUGCUCGAGUGGCGAACGGGUGAGUAACACGUGAGUAACCUGCCCUUGACUUUGGGAUAACUUCAGGAAACUGGGGCUAAUACCGGAUAGGAGCUCCUGCUGCAUGGUGGGGGUUGGAAAGUUUCGGCGGUUGGGGAUGGACUCGCGGCUUAUCAGCUUGUUGGUGGGGUAGUGGCUUACCAAGGCUUUGACGGGUAGCCGGCCUGAGAGGGUGACCGGCCACAUUGGGACUGCGAUACGGCCCAGACUCCCACGGGAGGCAGCAGUGGGGAAUAUUGCACAAUGGGCGGAAGCCUGAUGCAGCAACGCCGCGUGCGGGAUGACGGCCUUCGGGUUGUAAACCGCUUUCGCCUGUGACGAAGCGUGAGUGACGGUAAUGGGUAAAGAAGCACCGGCUAACUACGUG
rnacentral:rRNA from 1 species